rnacentral:rRNA from 1 species
AUAGCCUGCAUGUCUAAGUAUAAGCAAUCUAUACGGUGCAACUGCGAAUGGCUCAUUAAAUCAGUUAUCGUUUAUUUGAUAGUACCUUACUACUUGGAUAACCGUGGUAAUUCUAGAGCUAAUACAUGCUAAAAACCCCGACUUCGGAAGGGGAGUAUUUAUUAGAUAAAAAACCAAUGCCCUUCGGGGCUCCUUGGUGAUUCAUAAUAACUUAACGAAUCGCAUGGCCUUGUGCCGGCGAUGGUUCAUUCAAAUUUCUGCCCUAUCAACUUUCGAUGGUAGGAUAGUGGCCUACCAUGGUUUCAACGGGUAACGGGGAAUUAGGGUUCUAUUCCGGAGAGGGAGCCUGAGAAACGGCUACCACAUCCAAGGAAGGCAGCAGGCGCGCAAAUUACCCAAUCCCGACACGGGGAGGUAGUGACAAUAAAUACUGAUACAGGGCUCUUUUGGGUCUUGUAAUUGGAAUGAGUACAAUUUAAAUCCCUUAACGAGGAACAAUUGGAGGGCAAGUCUGGUGCCAGCAGCCGCGGUAAUUCCAGCUCCAAUAGCGUAUAUUAAAGUUGUUGCAGUUAAAAAGCUCGUAGUUGAACCUUGGGCCUGGCUGACCGGUCCGCCUCACCGCGUGCACUGGUUCGGCCGGGCCUUUCCUUCUGGGGAGCCGCAUGCCCUUCACUGGGUGUGUCGGGGAACCAGUACUUUUACUUUGAAAAAAUUAGAGUGUUCAAAGCAGGCCUAUGCUCGAAUACAUUAGCAUGGAAUAAUAGAAUAGGACGUGUGGUUCUAUUUUGUUGGUUUCUAGGACCGCCAUAAUGAUAA